GCCGUGAUCGUCUAGUGGUUAGGACCCCACGUUGUGGGUUACCACACCCAGGUUCGAAUCCUGGUCACGGCA
rfam:Drosophila melanogaster chromosome 2R.